rnacentral:rRNA from 1 species
UACGUAGGUGGCAAGCGUUGUCCGGAUUUAUUGGGUUUAAAGGGUGCGUAGGCGGUUUUUUAAGUCAGUGCUGAAAUACUCCAGCUUAACUGGAGGGGUGGCAUUGAUACUGGAAGACUUGAGUACAGAUGAGGUAGGCGGAAUUGACGGUGUAGCGGUGAAAUGCAUAGAUAUCGUCAAGAACACCGAUAGCGAAGGCAGCUUACUGGGCUGCAUAUCGACGCUGAUGCACGAAAGUGUGGGGAUCAAACAGG